CUGUUUUUCAUCAACUUUAUGGUAAUGUUCCCCUCUCUCUCUUGCUCCCUAUUCCUCUCUCUCUUGCUCCCUAUUCCUCUCUCUCUCUCUCUCCCUCUCCUCUCCCUCUCCCUCUCUCCCUCUCUCUCUCUCUCUCUCUCUCUCUCUCUCUCUCUCUCUCUCUCUCUCUCUCUCUCUCUCUCUCAUGUUCCUCCCAGCUCUGCCAGUGCAGUCCAAGCUGCUCUGCAAACGUCAGCCACAGACCCUCUCUCUCUCUCUCUUCUCUCACAUCAGCCGCUCUUCCUCUCUUAAGGUAGGAAACUCUACUAGUCUAACUAACUCUAACUAGUAUAAACUUCAAGCUGUACCGGUCAACCACUGAGCAAUACGCGAAUCAUUCACAAUCGAACAAAAGGAAAACAUUAUCCAACCUAAUCGAACAAACAACAUUAGAAUAGUCUACAUCUGAAAAAUGAGAAAUUGAGGUCAAUGACGGAAGUAUGCGCACGUGAGGUGACCACGCCCCUCUUUCCAUGCCCUGAAGCAGCGCGCCAUUUUGUUCAUCUUCUGCCUGCAGCGAGCGACUUCAAUUUACUCUCGAGUCUACUCAGACGCUUCAUAAAAGGUACUACACGAUAUCACUGCCUUGCAGCUGACCAAACUGGAUGUCACAGACAAGACCAUCUGGCUCAGCCCACAAAACAUCGGCAUUGAUCUAGGUGCAGAGUCAGUCCUUUAGAGAAUCAAAGGUGCAGAGCUCUCGAGUUCAAGAGAGAGUGCAUGCAGGGACUGAGUAACAUGAUCAAGAAAGUGCAGGACAAGAGCCCCCUCAAGUAUCUGACUGUUAGGCAGAUGGUGUGCCUGGAUCCGUCAGUAAUGUAUAGAGAACCAGAAAGAGGCAGGAAUCACAUGAAAGGGCUGGUUCAAAGGUUUCUCCAGGACAAACAGCUUACUGAUACUUCUUCGGGGGAUGUCAUACUGCAGCAGUUUGACAGUCUCCUGUCCUUGGAGAGCCGGAGUGAGGACUUCCUCUCCUUUCAACCCAUGCAGAAGAGGCUGGACAUCUUCCUGAGCAGCGCCAUGGAGCCUUAUCCCGAGCUGUGGGCCUUCUGCAAGAAGCUGCUCAUCCUCUCCCACGGUCAAGCUGCAGUUGAGCGUGGAUUCUCAAUCAAUAAAGAGGUGGAGUCUGAUAACUUGGCGGAGGAUACUGUGGUCACACGGAGACUGGUGUGUGACUACAUCAUACAACAUGGAGGUGUUACCAAGGUUCCACUCAGUAAACCGCUACUGGAAAGUGUAGCAAGGGCAAGGACAAGGUUUCGUACCCAUCUGGAGACCAAAAGAAGGAACAGGGAGGCAAAAGACCAGGCUCUCAAGAGGAGGGAAGCAGAGGACUGUCUUGAGGAGCUGAAGGUUAAGAGGAGACGUGUACAGGAGGUAUCUGAGGGUCUGGCUAGGGAUGCGGACAAGAUGGCUGAGGAGGCUGAAGCGAAGGCAGGGAGCAAGAUGGCUGGCCUGAUCACCAGGUCAAACAUCCUGCGGAGAGGCCAUAAGGAGAAGUUGGCAGAACUGGCUCUCCUUGAUAAAGAGAUCGCUGCUAAGAGUGCAGAGCUUAGGAGUUGACUGUGUGAUCAUAAUUUUAUUUAUUGUUGAGUUGAUUUUCAUUGUUUAUUGUUAAGGAGUCUGUGCUGUUGGCGUAAGUACUCACCACUAUGCUGCAAUAUUCCAUCAUUCCAUAAUGCUUUACAGUCCACAUUUUCACAUUUGUUGAAAUAAAUGACCAAAUUUUGAACAAACGUUGUCGGUAGGUCUGUAAAAUAGGCCGUGAAAUAGGUAUUAAUUUUUAUAUAAGUGGUCUUAAAAGGGACUUAAAAAGACUUGAAUUUGACUUGAACAAAUCUGUAGGAACCCUGUAAUAAAAUAACCUCAAACAGCUAAUG
ensembl:lncRNA